GACGAACCGAGCGAACGUUGUUCGGAAUCACUGGGCUUAAAGGGCGCGUAGGCGGGCUGCCGCGUCCGGGGUGAAAGCCCCCCGCUCAACGGGGGAACGGCCUCGGAUACGGGCGAUCUCGAGGGGGGUAGGGGCACCUGGAACUGUGGGUGGAGCGGUGAAAUGCGUUGAUAUCCACAGGAACUCCGGUGGCGAAGGCGAGGUGCUGGACCCCAUCUGACGCUGAGGCGCGAAAGCUAGGGGAGCAAACAGG
rnacentral:rRNA from 1 species